UGCUUGCUGCUUGAGACUGAGUAACUGCUAGAUCCUUGGACUUCCAUUCACAGCUGCGACUGAACAAUUGUUGGGAAUUGGGCUGCCGACUGGCAUGAGAUUAAAUUCUCUUUUGAAAUCUUCAUUGAUCAUACCUUGAUUCACACUGGAAAGUUGAAGAAUCCUUUGAGUUGUAUCAUUCAGUAUAUUUUCUGCUUCUGCAUGUUGUAUACAACUACUGUGAAAACUGAUGGUGAUCUUGUAUUCUCAAGAUUGUGGUCUUCUAAAUUUGCUGGCAAGGUAUUACAAUAGGAAGUGAGCCAUGCAUUUGAAGUACAU
rnacentral:lncRNA from 1 species